AGAGUUUGAUCCUGGCUCAGAUUGAACGCUGGCGGCAUGCCUUACACAUGCAAGUCGAACGGCAGCACGGAGCUUGCUCUGGUGGCGAGUGGCGAACGGGUGAGUAAUAUAUCGGAACGUACCCUAGAGUGGGGGAUAACGUAGCGAAAGUUACGCUAAUACCGCAUACGAUCUAAGGAUGAAAGUGGGGGAUCGCAAGACCUCAUGCUCGUGGAGCGGCCGAUAUCUGAUUAGCUAGUUGGUAGGGUAAAAGCCUACCAAGGCAUCGAUCAGUAGCUGGUCUGAGAGGACGACCAGCCACACUGGAACUGAGACACGGCCCAGACUCCUACGGGAGGCAGCAGUGGGGAAUUUUGGACAAUGGGCGAAAGCCUGAUCCAGCAAUGCCGCGUGAGUGAAGAAGGCCUUCGGGUUGUAAAGCUCUUUUGUCAGGGAAGAAACGGUGAGAGCUAAUAUCUCUUGCUAAUGACGGUACCUGAAGAAUAAGCACCGGCUAACUACGUGCCAGCAGCCGCGGUAAUACGUAGGGUGCAAGCGUUAAUCGGAAUUACUGGGCGUAAAGCGUGCGCAGGCGGUUUUGUA
rnacentral:rRNA from 1 species